AACGAACGCUGGCGGCAUGCCUAACACAUGCAAGUCGAACGAGACCUUCGGGUCUCGUGGCGCACGGGUGCGUAACGCGUGGGAACCUGCCCUUAGGUUCGGAAUAACUCCCCGAAAGGGGUGCUAAUACCGGAUAAUGUCUUCGGACCAAAGAUUUAUCGCCUUUGGAUGGGCCCGCGUUGGAUUAGCUAGUUGGUAGGGUAAAAGCCUACCAAGGCGACGAUCCAUAGCUGGUCUGAGAGGAUGAUCAGCCACACUGGGACUGAGACACGGCCCAGACUCCUACGGGAGGCAGCAGUGGGGAAUAUUGGACAAUGGGCGAAAGCCUGAUCCAGCAAUGCCGCGUGAGUGAUGAAGGCCUUAGGGUUGUAAAGCUCUUUUACCCGGGAUGAUAAUGACAGUACCGGGAGAAUAAGCUCCGGCUAACUCCGU
rnacentral:rRNA from 1 species